GGAUGAAAGCGGGGGACCUUCGGGCCUCGCGCUAUAGGGUUGGCCGAUGGCUGAUUAGCUAGUUGGUGGGGUAAAGGCCUACCAAGGCGACGAUCAGUAGCUGGUCUGAGAGGACGACCAGCCACACUGGGACUGAGACACGGCCCAGACUCCUACGGGAGGCAGCAGUGGGGAAUUUUGGACAAUGGGCGAAAGCCUGAUCCAGCAAUGCCGCGUGUGUGAAGAAGGCCUUCGGGUUGUAAAGCACUUUUGUCCGGAAAGAAAUCCUUGGUUCUAAUAUAGCCGGGGGAUGACGGUACCGGAAGAAUAAGCACCGGCUAACUACGUGCCAGCAGCCGCGGUAAUACGUAGGGUGCGAGCGUUAAUCGGAAUUACUGGGCGUAAAGCGUGCGCAGGCGGUUUG
rnacentral:rRNA from 1 species